rnacentral:rRNA from 1 species
UACGGGGGGAGCAAGCGUUGUUCGGAUUUACUGGGCGUAAAGGGCGCGUAGGCGGUCAGCACAAGUCAGUUGUGAAAUCUCCGGGCUUAACUCGGAAAGGUCAACUGAUACUGUGCGACUAGAGUGCAGAAGGGGCAACUGGAAUUCUCGGUGUAGCGGUGAAAUGCGUAGAUAUCAGGAAGAACACCUAUGGCGAAGGCAGCUCUCUGGGACGGUACUGACGCUGAGACGCGAAAGCGUGGGGAGCGAACAGG